AUUGAACGCUGGCGGCAGGCCUAACACAUGCAAGUCGAGCGAGCGGCGGACGGGUGAGUAAUGUAUGGGGCUCUGCCCGAUAGCGGGGGAUAACUACUGGAAACAGUGGCUAAUACCGCAUACUUUCGGAGGAACCAAUAUGGGAUUAGCUAGUAGGUGGGGUAAAGGCUCACCAAGCGACGAUCGCUAGCGGGUCUGAGAGGCUGACCAGCCACACUGGGACUGAGACACGGCCCAGACUCCUACGGGAGGCAGCAGUGGGGAAUAUUGCGCAAUGGGGGAAACCCUGACGCAGCCAUGCCGCGUGAAUGAAGAAGGCCUUCGGGUUGUAAAGUUCUUUCGGUAGCGAGGCGUUAACUACAGAAGAAGCACCGGCUAACUACGUGCCAGCCGCCGCGGUAAUAC
rnacentral:rRNA from 1 species